rnacentral:rRNA from 1 species
UACAGAGGUCUCAAGCGUUGUUCGGAUUCAUUGGGCGUAAAGGGUGUGUAGGUGGCGCCGUAAGUCGGGUGUGAAAUUUCGAGGCUUAACCUCGAAACUGCAUUCGAUACUGCGGUGCUAGAGUACUGGAGAGGAGAUUGGAAUUCACGGUGUAGCAGUGAAAUGCGUAGAUAUCGUGAGGAAGACCAGUGGCGAAGGCGGAUCUCUGGACAGUUACUGACACUGAGGCACGAAGGCCAGGGGAGCAAACGGG